rnacentral:lncRNA from 1 species
CGCUUCUGAGGGCUCCCUGGCCUGGGAGAGUUUGAGCAGAAGUGGUUCCCAGUGGGAAAGUGCGAACUUCAGGACGGGCCGUGUGGAGACUUCUGGGGCUGAGACGUGACUAACACAUUUCCAUGCUGAAGGAUGUGGUGGACUGGCAAGGGACUAGAAUAAGAGAUGACUUUGUUUUAGAUCUUAUGUAAUCUCCAAAGGGUCCCAGGAAGGAUGGGACCUCUGCUUGGAUCUGUGCUGAGUCUGAGGAUCACUGCAGGUCAGGGGAGGAGAACUCCUCGCUGGGUGUGAAGCGGAGAAAAUCAAGAACCGGUUGUAACUUGUUCCUCAGCAGCCCCAACUCUGAUAAGGUAAGUUGUCUGUGGAGGACCCAGCCCUCUUUACCAGGGAACUACUCGCUCAGUGGCCCAGGAGCUUCUGAGGGAAGGAAAUGUGACUGGGCCUGGAAGAGAUACAGGUCUGGCUUGCUUGUGCUUGCUUCAUGGUCAGCCAGUAAGAAGGAACCGGGCAUCUGCUGUGCCACUCGCCUUCAGAGCAGCGUGGCCACUGGUUCCAUCCUGUUUUCUACCUCCCAAUAGUUCUGCACGUCUCUUGUGGCUAACCCUAACCCAGAAUCAUAAGAGGAGGAAAUUCCAGGAAAUAUGGUCUUAUCUUCAUUGAGAUGGUAUGAAGCUAAGAGAGAUCCAGUUUUUCCCAAUGUUAAAUAAAGAACCUGUGCCCACUAAGGACACUUUCAC